UUAGAGAGGAGUCUGAGACGGCGUUAGGAUGCCCUGCUCACUGAGAGUGAACUGAGGCUUCAAGGGGACUCUUAGGACUCAACGAGGUGGGGGUCUUUGAUCCCAGAGGUGCCCAUUGGGGGUCACCCAGCCGCAGGGCAGGGAUUGGCUGACACAUCCCCCAGGGAAAAGCAGCUGUCUAGAGGGUGGUGCUAACCCAGCCUCUGAUUGGCCAAGCUACUAGAAGUCCCGCCUAGUGGACAGGCCCACAAAGGCCCAAGGGCUUCAAAAAGGCUGACCACGAGGUAGCAAGUACAUCUCCUGGCUCCCACUUCUCUGGGUGUGCUCUGGAAAGUGGCACCUCUGGUUUGCUGAGUGUCCCCUCCUUGACAGGUAUUCAGUACUGGAGGUGCUUGGACUCCCCACCGUCCAUCCCAACACCCAAGAAAGGGGGUCACUGGAACCCCCCUCCCCACAGAGAAAAUGGCAGAGAUAUUCCAGCCUGGGACCAAGCAGCUUUCCCCACGAGCCAUCCAGGUGCUCUGUGGGCUGGAGCCACAUCAAACACGGAACAAUAUCUUCACUUUUUUGGCUGAGAACAACCGGCGGCGGCAGAAGCAGCAGAGGCAGUUCUGCAGCCCCAAGUGAUGGUCCAGCAGAUGAGGGGUCUAGGCUGGAGUGAUGCGUGCAACAGUGGCUGCUGGUGAUGGGACUGGGGGACCGCUCACCUGCUGAGGUCCACUGUGGAUACAAAAUAAAGAUCUCUGU